AUAUAUUGAAAUUUACAACUCUACCGAAUCUAGUUUGGUUCAGAACUUGCAAUACACUCUGAAUAUCGCAACAUCAUGUCCGUCGCUUCUGCUGGACCCUCGAAGAUGUUGAGCCUUAUUCGAGGAAGAUCGCUAACGGAUACCGAGU